rfam:Morus notabilis contig24028, whole genome shotgun sequence.
ACCAAUUCUGGGGGAUAAUCGGUUCCUCUUGGCAUAAUGGCUAGGGCGCCAUAUUAGUCAUGUGGCUAUCCUGAUCAAUGUUCUUUCAAUGCCAUUUGAUCCUGGAAACACCACGUACAUUC